rnacentral:rRNA from 1 species
UGGGGAAUUUUCCGCAAUGGGCGAAAGCCUGACGGAGCAAUGCCGCGUGGAGGUGGAAGGCCUACGGGUCGUCAACUCCUUUUCUCGGAGAAGAAACAAUGACGGUAUCUGAGGAAUAAGCAUCGGCUAACUCUGUGCCGG